UGCCGAGACAAGAUAGCGACUCGCACCGUCACUGAAGCGGCGGCGGGAAGUCAGCGGAACCAAGCCGACGGCGCAGCAGACAUGCUGUUCUUUCCAUGGCCUGAAAUUGGGGCACGUUCCUAUGCGGCUAAAAGGCCAGGGCUACACAAAUCGUGACGAGGCAGUUGGCACCGAGUUCCCGGCGGUUCGCUCGGUACGCAUGCGCAGUGCACAUUGCUCAAGCCCGUGGCAUGAGCAGACAGCCCGAGCUGCUACCCAGACAAGAUAACGGCCCGAACCUCCCGGACGUCGCUCAAGCGGCGGCGGGCAGCCGACGGAAUCAGGCGACAUUUCGUUCUUUUCGUGGUUCCAAGCUGCGCUCAUUCCUGUGCGGCUGAAGCGCAGCCAACGGCAAAGUACCCUUUACAGGGGCUACUUGAAACCCUUUGGCAGAAACUUGGCGGAGAUUAUGGUGGUGCCUGUCACGGACUUCAGCUAACCCCCUGGUGUUGAGUCUAUUGACGCCUUCCGGAGCGGAUUACGCUGUAAUCUUCGAGAAGAUAUUCCCGCCCUUCCGUCUGCAAACUCACACGGACUAUGCGAUCGCAGUUAAUGACGCAUUGACCGAGGCACGUUUUGGCGCGAAACCUUGCAACCGUUGAGGUAUCAGUCACAUUUGGCUGAAAUUUGUGAACGUUCAGAAGAAGUGGUCUUCUCGCAUAAAAGCUGUUCUUCGGCGAAGCUCGUACAACUGGAACCGGCAAGACGACGCAGACUAGCAUGUUGCAACGCCGCACUACGUUAAAGAGCAGCGUCGCGAGAAGCAACCGCAAACAUUAGCCACAAACACAGAGGCUGCUUCGCAAAUUACGGAAGACUGCGCGAUUCGCAGAUCGGCUACUGCGUGUCAACCACCGUAGCUGCCAAGCAGGAGUUGAGAAAGAGAAAAAAUGCACGCCUUGAGGCAUAGCCCAUCGAGAAAACUGCAAGAAACCCACUAAUAUUAGUCCAACGAUAGACGACGACGACUGGGACACCAAGGACACCAAGGACAACAGAACUCUCUUUGUUGUCGCACACCCCGUCUACAGCUUUGAAGAAGGCAGGAGCCCAAUCCAGCUGCUUCUAGAUACCCGCUCGUGUAAAGAGGUAUCGUAUUCGUAACACUAACCUACUGUCAGUACCACCGCGAGACUUCAUCGGGCUGUUCGUCGUCUCCUCCAAUACUUCUCGUAAUCCUUCCUCUUUUAAACAUGUGUAUAAGUACACCGCAGCGAACGCGAAGAAAACACGUGGGUGACACUCUGUACACAUGUCAAGGUCGGCGCAUCUUCGAGCGUUGCUUUCCCCGAAGUGAAGGAUACUUGAAAUUCAGAUUGUACUGAUCGCCGUGUCGAGCUGUUUUCCCCAGUAACCGGAUAACCUCUUAAUUCGUUGUUCGAGUCUUGAUGCUGAUAUUAGGCGGGCAAUGCCAUGUUAUUGUGCGCGUAGUAACGUUCAGUACCUCUGUUCGUCCUUACGCGAAAGUGCCUUCUACGGCGCUCGUUGAAUUUCGUAAUUGCUCGCAAACUGAAUGUGCGUCGUUAGUGACUGUUCGUAUUUAUUAGAGUGUGCCGCGACAACUUUCGUUGAGUAAACAGGGCUUCAAUCCCGAAGAACAGGAGCCUUAGGUCGUUUCGCCCGUCGAACGCGGAGUGACUGAGCGUUGCUCGACGCAUUCGAUCGUUCAUAGGUCUGGUUCGAGUCAGUAACAGUGACUUAAGCGGGUAUAUCGUUCAAUCGCCAUCUUAAUGAAAGUCAUGCGAGAUGGGCUGAAAGUUAAAGCCCCGCGCGCAGCUGUUAUGAUUAACCCCUUUCAAUGUCGUGCGCAGUGUUGAUAUCGCUUUAAGUGAAAUAGCAAGGCUUCCGCAGUAGCAGCUUCGCGGGUCUCUUUUGCUGUCAAUGGGUGGCCGAAUAUUUUAUGGGCUAAGGUGACGUCGUGUGAAACACGUCUUGUGGGCGACUGCUCUCUUUAGCCGGGUGUCUAGCGAGGCAAGCACUCCAGUUACUGAGCGAGCGUUCAGUACUACGGCAACUCUCGAAACUACAUGAGCUGGCAAUAGAAUCAAACAUCUACCGCUUCAAGCAACUGCGUUGUUCGGCAGCCCUUGUUGCCAUCAUGAAUAAACUGCAACCACCCCAAGGAAGGAAUUUUUCUCGCAGCCAAUUUUUCGGCACGACUUAACCAAAAAAAAAAAAAAAGUAACUUUUCGCUGGUGGAUACUGACAUUGCGCAUACACGGCUACCGUGUAGUGUGAAGUAUCACAGGCCCGCUCUAGCGAAGGCUCUCUCUUCGCGUUUUAACUGAAGAGACUCUGCUCGGCAGUGAAAACGGCGUGAAAAGGACAAAGGCCUCGAUUAAUUUUCCCGGAGCCGACUGCCGUCGUUUCGGACAAAGAACACGGUCGACUAGGAACGCUUCGAGUGCGACAAGCCGGACACGACGACUCUCCCAAGGGUUGUUUCAUCAAAAGUGGCUGCUUGACCCCCCCGGUGCCGGCCGCGUAGUAAGGCCGGCCGUCUAAUUAAUUUCCAGCGCGCCUGCGAGUUGAGUGCGUGUACGAAGAGUGGCGCUCGGAGACACUGAAGUGAUCGCCCGAGUUUCGGGUGCUGCCUCUAUAGAGCCUUCGACGACAUGAAGCCUUUCAGUUCCUGAGGUUCCACUCGGGUCCGCGGCGAAGCUGGGUAACCUGGGGUCGUCGUCAAGCGGCCUGGCUUCGGCCAACGCUGCGGCCAAUGGCGCGGCCAGCAGCAGCGGCGGCGGCGGCGGCGGCGGCGGCGAAGAGUCGCUGCAGUGGUGCCACAAUGGCACCCACUACCUGGACGGCCGCGGUACCAUUCCGCCUCCCGGUGGCCCCAUCGUUAAGCAGCCCUGGCGAUCGGACGGCACAAACAGUCA